rnacentral:rRNA from 1 species
GUGUCAGCCGCCGCGGUAAGACGAAGGUGGCGAGCGUUGUUCGGAAUCACUGGGCAUAAAGCGCACGUAGGCGGUGGCGUAAGUCGGGUGUGAAAUCCCUCGGCCCAACCGAGGAACUGCGCCCGAUACUGCGUUGCUUGAGGACCAAAGGGGUGCAUGGAAUUUCCGGUGGAGCGGUGAAAUGCGUUGAUAUCGGAAGGAACGUCGGCGGCGAAAGCGGUGCACUGGUUGGUCUCUGACGCUGAGGUGCGAAAGCCAGGGGAGCAAACGGGAUUAGAUACCCCGGUAGUCC